UAAGUGGAAACGUACUCUACAUUUCUAGUACAACCAGAAUUAUUAAUAGACCUUUCAACAACUCUACAUUUCAACAUAAAUGCAACCACACAGAUCAUUUUCAAAAUGCCUGUUAAUUUCUGAGGAAGUUGAGCAACAAUGAUCUCUAAAAAGUCCAGAUGGGGAAGAGAAUAAGUAGAGGGAGAGAAGAGCAGAAAAGAAGGAGAUGAUUGAAAGAGGACUGAGAGGGUGAAAGAAGAGGCAUUCGGCAGUGGAGUGGACUGUGGAGAACACUUCCCAUUGGAGCCCUGCUGCUUAGGACCUUGAAGUUUACAGGUGAAUUCCCAAAGAUCCCUCAGAAACCGGUUGGAUAUUUCCGUUGAGAAUCUGAUAAGAGUCCCGGAGCGCACAGGAAUAACGGAGGACUAAUGGCCACGUCUGAACCGACAGCCACUGGCGGGGACCAGGACCCCAACUCUGCCAAUUUACGACCUUCGUCUACAAACUAUGACGCGUGGAUGCAAGGCUGCACGCGGAAACUGGGUUUGAAGAUCUGUGGUAAGUUUAAGACCCAUAAACCAUCAUGGAUACUAUAUGGAAUACUCUGAUGUUAGAGCAGGGCCGUCCCGGACUGUCACUCCACAUUCUCAUCUCCUAAAGGUCAGUUAGCGAUUAGCUUUAGGCCACGCGAUGCGCGCCGGGGUUCCGUCGCCGACCACCCCAUGUCUCUUCCUAUCCAUAUCUCUACAGUUAGCAAAGGAUAGGAUGUAGGCCCACAAUACGGCAAGUAACAAUAUGCCUCAGAAAUAUAGAAACAUGUCUAAACAAACAAGAUUUAUCGCGAGAUGGAUGUGUCCAAUAUAGGCUAGUUGUUUUUUAUGCUGAGUUAGCUGUUAACAUGUUUUUUGCACAUAGGCUAGGCCUAAAUAUUGCACCUUCUAAUAGCUUUUUAUUUUAUAAAGGCCUUAUCAUAGAUUUUUUUUUAAAGCAUUAAUUUCCUCUCCUUUCCGUUUGGAGGCGACUAUGGAUUUGGGUCCCUUCAUGCAAAACUGAUUUUUUUUUAU
rnacentral:lncRNA from 1 species